AGAGUUUGAUCCUGGCUCAGGACGAACGCUGGCGGCGUGCCUAAUACAUGCAAGUCGAGCGGACAGAUGGGAGCUUGCUCCCUGAUGUUAGCGGCGGACGGGUGAGUAACACGUGGGUAACCUGCCUGUAAGACUGGGAUAACUCCGGGAAACCGGGGCUAAUACCGGAUGGUUGUUUGAACCGCAUGGUUCAAACAUAAAAGGUGGCUUCGGCUACCACUUGCAGAUGGACCCGCGGCGCAUUAGCUAGUUGGUGAGGUAAUGGCUCACCAAGGCAACGAUGCGUAGCCGACCUGAGAGGGUGAUCGGCCACACUGGGACUGAGACACGGCCCAGACUCCUACGGGAGGCAGCAGUAGGGAAUCUUCCGCAAUGGACGAAAGUCUGACGGAGCAACGCCGCGUGAGUGAUGAAGGUUUUCGGAUCGUAAAGCUCUGUUGUUAGGGAAGAACAAGUGCCGUUCGAAUAGGGCGGUACCUUGACGGUACCUAACCAGAAAGCCACGGCUAACUACGUGCCAGCAGCCGCGGUAAUACGUAGGUGGCAAGCGUUGUCCGGAAUUAUUGGGCGUAAAGGGCUCGCAGGCGGUUUCUUAAGUCUGAUGUGAAAGCCCCCGGCUCAACCGGGGAGGGUCAUUGGAAACUGGGGAACUUGAGUGCAGAAGAGGAGAGUGGAAUUCCACGUGUAGCGGUGAAAUGCGUAGAGAUGUGGAGGAACACCAGUGGCGAAGGCGACUCUCUGGUCUGUAACUGACGCUGAGGAGCGAAAGCGUGGGGAGCGAACAGGAUUAGAUACCCUGGUAGUCCACGCCGUAAACGAUGAGUGCUAAGUGUUAGGGGGUUUCCGCCCCUUAGUGCUGCAGCUAACGCAUUAAGCACUCCGCCUGGGGAGUACGGUCGCAAGACUGAAACUCAAAGGAAUUGACGGGGGCCCGCACAAGCGGUGGAGCAUGUGGUUUAAUUCGAAGCAACGCGAAGAACCUUACCAGGUCUUGACAUCCUCUGACAAUCCUAGAGAUAGGACGUCCCCUUCGGGGGCAGAGUGACAGGUGGUGCAUGGUUGUCGUCAGCUCGUGUCGUGAGAUGUUGGGUUAAGUCCCGCAACGAGCGCAACCCUUGAUCUUAGUUGCCAGCAUUCAGUUGGGCACUCUAAGGUGACUGCCGGUGACAAACCGGAGGAAGGUGGGGAUGACGUCAAGUCAUCAUGCCCCUUAUGACCUGGGCUACACACGUGCUACAAUGGACAGAACAAAGGGCAGCGAAACCGCGAGGUUAAGCCAAUCCCACAAAUCUGUUCUCAGUUCGGAUCGCAGUCUGCAACUCGACUGCGUGAAGCUGGAAUCGCUAGUAAUCGCGGAUCAGCAUGCCGCGGUGGAUACGUUUCCGGGCCUUGUACACACCGCCCGUCACACCACGAGAGUUUGUAACACCCGAAGUCGGUGAGGUAACCUUUUAGGAGCCAGCCGCCGAAGGUGGGACAGAUGAUUGGGGUGAAGUCGAAACAAGGUAGCCGUAUCGGAAGGUGCGGCUG
rnacentral:rRNA from 1 species